GGAAAAACGACAAAAAAUAAGGCUAUUAUAGCCUUUACUUUUCAUCGAUUUUCACAACUUUUUUCAUUAAGGCCUGUGAUCCCCCCUUUGCAUUUGACCCAAAGUUUGGAAUGGCUUGGGGCAGUUUUGGGAAAAUUUCCAGUUGUCCCCCGGGCCCUUUGUUGAUCCUGGGGUUGCCUGUGUUCCCCUCCUUGCAUUUGACCCAAAUUUUUCGAAACAUGUUUUUAUGAGUCGGAAGUGAUCGUUUUGAUUAGAGAAAUGUUUCUCAACAAUUUUCAGAAAGUUUGGUGUGAGUUGGGCCUCUUGAAUUUUUACUGUGAUCACCAUUUGUUGACCGUAGGGUUGCUUAUGAUCCCCCCUUUGCAUUUGACCCAAAGUUUUUGAAACAAGUUUUUCUAAGUCGAAGGUGAUCGUUUUGAUGAGAGAAAGAAAGUUUUGUGAGUUGGGGGAUCUAUGAAUUUUAAAAAAAUUUCCUGUGGUACUCUCAUUUUUAACCCAUCGAGUCUCAUUGUGCCCAGAUGCUCUCUGCUUUACUCUGUCUAACGCCAGAAGAUUUUACUCGUGAAGGGGAGAGCGCUGGCGCUUAAUGGUUAACUGGCCUAUCUGCCCAUGGGUGUAUAUAACCCAUUGAGUCGCAUAGAAUAGAAGAAUUAUUUAAUGUCGAAUGACACAGAGUGUGGUUGCCCAAUCACUCGAGCCAGGGGCUCAUGAUAGAAGUGCUCGAUGCGCCCGAUUGUGCCCAGAUGCGCCCUGCUUUGUUAUUUUACUCUGUCUAACGCCAGACGAUUUUACUCAUCAAGGGGAGAGUGCUGGCACUUAAUGGGUUAAACACAAAAGUGUGAAUUUUCUUUGGUUGCCUAUGAUCCCCCCUUUGCAUUUGACCCAAAGUUUUUUAAACAAGUUUUUCUAAGUCGAAGGUGAUUGUUUUGAUGAGAGAAAGAAAGUUUUGUGAGUUGGGGGAUCUUUAUGAAUUUUUAAAAAAAUUCCUGUGGUACUCCCAUUUUUAAAAACAAAAUAUGAAUUUUUCUGUUGCAUCCUUCGUCUGGUAUCAGUUAGAUAAGAUAUGUUGUCAGUUGAUAUGUGCAAAUAACUAGAUUAAUAUCUUUCAUUGUUUAGAUAUUUUGUUCCAAGAGAAUUUGGAUCAGUUAGCAGUCCUCAAUGUUGAACCGGAUUACAUGACAGGAAAAGAAAGAUUAUACCAAACAGAAUCAUCUACAGUCGCUGUCUUGAAUCAUUUAAAUAAGGUUAGUUUAUAAAACGCCUUCCAGGCAAUGUGGCAUGAAAAUUUUAAAUUCUGAAUAAUAUGUUAUCCCUUGGGGAAUUCAUCCAAUCUAAGCCAAUAAAUGCAAAGCCCUAUGUCAGUGAGCAUUUUUUAUCAGUUGAAAGUAAUUGUUUUGAUGAGAGAAAUAAAUGCUUAUCGACAAUUUUCAGAAAGUUUGGAAUAAUAGUUCCGGGCCUUUUUUAUUUAAAAAAUUCCUGUGCUCUCCCUUUCUUGAGCACAGAUUGCCACUUGCCUGUGGUUGCCCGCUUUGCAAAAUGUUUUAAAACGUGUUUUUAUCAAUUGAAAGUGAUUGUUUUGAUGAGAAAAGGUGUCUCAAUGUUUACUUUUUGUCCAUUUUGACGUAAAGCAACAAAAAACAACAAAAAAGCAAGGCUAUUUUGAUUGACAAUUUUUCAUCGCUAGCUUUUGAAAAAAAAGAAAGAAAUUAAAGAAAUCACUUCAACAGAAGAACAAAGUGAUUUAAAACGAAAAACUAAAAAAAAAAGAAAUUGAAGAAAUCACUUCAACAGAAGAACAAAGUGAUUUAAAACGAAAAACUAAAAAAAAACAAAGAAAUUGAAGAAAUCACUUCAACAGAAGAACAAAGUGAUUUAAAACGAAAAACUAAAACAAAAAGAAAGAAAUUGAAGAAAUCACUUCAACAGAAGAACAAAGUGAUUUAAAACGAAAAACUAAAAAAAAAGAAAGAAAUUGAAGAAAUCACUUCAACGGAAGAACAAACUUUAAAACGAACAACUACAAUGCUUGAAACAGAUAAGACGAAAGACUGGGCAGAAACAGCAAAUAAGUAAGGUUAUUGCCUUAAGUUUUCGUCGAUUUUAACGACUUUUUUUCGUAAAGGGACAAAAACAGCAAAAAAGCAAUUAGAAAGGACAAACAACAGCAAAAAGCAAUUUUUACGACAUUUUUCAUUUUCC
rnacentral:lncRNA from 1 species